CGGGGUGAGUAACGCGUGGGUAACCUGCCUUGUACAGGGGGAUAACAGUUGGAAACGGCUGCUAAUACCGCAUAAGCGCACGGCAUCGCAUGAUGCAGUGUGAAAAACUCCGGUGGUAUAAGAUGGACCCGCGCUGGAUUAGCUAGUUGGUGAGGUAACGGCCCACCAAGGCGACGAUCCAUAGCCGACCUGAGAGGGUGACCGGCCACAUUGGGACUGAGACACGGCCCAA
rnacentral:rRNA from 1 species